AUCGAUUUAGUUUAAUUAAAAUUUCAUUUUGUGACUAUGAAGAUUCAAGUAAGGAUUCGAUA
rnacentral:tRNA from 1 species